CAAUUUAGAGCUUGAAUAAGCAUUUUAUUUACAUUAAAAAGAUAAUUUUUUUAUUUGAAUUGA
rnacentral:tRNA from 1 species